rnacentral:lncRNA from 1 species
CUGGGGUUCAAGAAUCACAUUUUAUCAAGUUCCUCCAAGUUUUUCCAAAUCAGGAGGUCCAUGGACCACGUUUUGUGGAGCAAGUUUACAGAAAUAUAAACUUAAUAAAUGAAACAGAGUGGGCCCCACCCCUUCCCUGCUGGUGGAUGAAAAGGCUGCCUUUGUACUUGCUUUGUUGAAAGGGUGCAUUCCACACCUGGGCCUGAAUCUGCUUUCAGAGCCUGGGAAACUGACCACUGAACUCCCAGAACAGGGUUCUUUCCAUGGCUACAUUGUUGAAUGCCUCCAACCCUGCCUUGUUGACCUGUGUUAGUCUGUUCACAUAGUGACCAACACCUACUCUUUGAAAAGCACGGCAGUAGGUUUUAUUCCUAUAGAGCAUGUUGUGAUCAUGGAAAUGCUGUCUAGGGGUCACCUACUGUAACUGGCCAUCUUCACGUCUGGUCCUCCUGUAGCAGCUGCAACAGCCCUUUGAAAUAAUACUGUUAUAUUUGUUGUUAUUCUACAAAUACAGAAAUUGAGACUUGAAAAGCCUAAGUUACCCAAGAUCAUACAGCCCUCUGGAGUAAAAACAAAACUCAUGAACUUUGCCACUAAGAUACUGUCUUUUGUCCCUUGAGAAUCAGGUAAGAGAAUAGGGGGAAGUUCAUGAAAGCAUAUUUUAAUGGGUUCAUUUUGUACUAAUCCUCCAGGAUCUGAUUCAUUUUUGACCCCCAGAACUAAGGGGCAAGCCCAUGCCAUCAAGGUUGAUUGUGACUAAGUGUAGACUAGGAAACCUUGCUGCAUCCAGAAACGGGCAUCGCUGUCUUUCACCAUGUUUGGGGCCUGGUUUGACUGAGUUUCGCCUGCCAGGGAGGAGGGCAGAGGGAGGCGCCUGGUGAGGGCAUUUUGGUUUGCGCUGAGUGAAAUCACCACUUCUGUGUCAGGAAGCCCUUGACCUCUGGAAAUCAGUGCAUCUUCCCAUUUCUCUGCCCAGGCAGACCACGACAGAGCAGACGGAGC